UCAGGAAACAUCUUAAAGUUCCCUACAGAUGACACAAAGACUGCCUUCAGACUAGAACUGCAACAUGGGCUCUUUCUGGGUCUUCAGUCUGCCAGCCCACCCUGCAAAUUUGAUUUGCCAGUUUUCAUACUCAGAAAGGCUAAAACUGAAAAGACUGCCUAUACCACAUGUUGGUGAGAAUGUAAAGAACCUGGAUGGAUCUCUCACAUGUUGCUGGUGGGGAUGUACAACCACACAACUGCUUUGAAAAACAUGGCACAAAUAAAGUGAUCAAACGCUUGUGCCUUUGGAAAAUUCAGUUCUUUUGGGAACUGAAAUCUCGGCAAAU